GACGAACGCUGGCGGCGUGCUUAACACAUGCAAGUCGAACGCUGAAGCUUGGUGCUUGCACUGGGUGGAUGAGUGGCGAACGGGUGAGUAAUACGUGAGUAACCUGCCCUUGACUCUGGGAUAAGCCUGGGAAACUGGGUCUAAUACUGGAUAUGACAUGCCACUGCAUGGUGGUGUGUGGAAAGGGUUUUACUGGUUUUGGAUGGGCUCACGGCCUAUCAGCUUGUUGGUGGGGUAAUGGCCUACCAAGGCGACGACGGGUAGCCGGCCUGAGAGGGUGACCGGCCACACUGGGACUGAGACACGGCCCAGACUCCUACGGGAGGCAGCAGUGGGGAAUAUUGCACAAUGGGCGGAAGCCUGAUGCAGCGACGCCGCGUGAGGGGUGACGGCCUUCGGGUUGUAAACCUCUUUCAGCACGGAAGAAGCGAGAGUGACGGUACGUGCAGAAGAAGCGCCGGCUAACUACGUG
rnacentral:rRNA from 1 species